AUUGAACGCUGGCGGCAUGCUUUACACAUGCAAGUCGAACGGUAACAGGCCGCAAGGUGCUGACGAGUGGCGAACGGGUGAGUAAUGCAUCAGAACGUGCCCAGUCGUGGGGGAUAACUACUCGCAAGAGUAGCUAAUACCUCAUACGAUCUAUGGAUUAAAGCGGGGGACCGUAAGGCCUCGCGCGAUUGGAGCUGCCGAUGUCAGAUUAGGUAGUUGGUGGGGUAAAGGCUCACCAAGCCAACGAUCUGUAGCUGGUCUGAGAGGACGACCAGCCACACUGGGACUGAGACACGGCCCAGACUCCUACGGGAGGCAGCAGUGGGGAAUUUUGGGCAAUGGGCGCAAGCCUGAUCCAGCAAUGCCGCGUGCAGGAAGAAGGCCUUCGGGUUGUAAACUGCUUUUGUACGGAACGAAACGGCGCUGGUUAAUACCCGGGGCUAAUGACGGUACCGUAAGAAUAAGCAACGGCUAACUACGUG
rnacentral:rRNA from 1 species